rnacentral:lncRNA from 1 species
UAUAUAACUUUUAUGGGAUAGUUUACUGUGUAGAACUACUAUGCUAUCAAAAGUAUAGAGAAUUUGAUUCUUUCGAUUUUUAAACCUUUGGAUUAAGAAUUGUACGUACGGUUGGGAUAAUUGCGAUCCCCCCCUAGGGUUGAGUAGUACCCUCUAAGAUUGAGUAGUCCCCACAGGAUAAUAGUAUUAAUCCAAAAGUUAAAAAUAAUUGAAGGGGCUGUUCUAAGGACCAAAAAGUCAAAAAUGCCAGAUUCUCUAUAUUUUCGAUAAUAUAAUAGCUCUACUCUAGUUUAUUUAUGCGUUCUUUACUUAAUGGUAAAAAUGUAUAGAGUUUGUCUAAAUCAUAAACCAAUUUAAAUUGACUAUUUAAUCUUUAAAAUUUUGAUUUUACUAGCCAAUAUUUUAAUUUAUUUAAUUUUUUAUGACUGUUCAGACGUGAAAUUUAAUCUUUUUUGCUUUUUUUAAUAAACAUAUAAUUACAUGAAUCAUAUAAAAUAUACUAAUUAACUAUAAAGAUAAAUGACUCAUUCAAAAUUUGAAGUUAAAGAAUU